rnacentral:rRNA from 1 species
AUUGAACGCUGGCGGAAUGCUUUACACAUGCAAGUCGAACGGCAGCACGGACUUCGGUCUGGUGGCGAGUGGCGAACGGGUGAGUAAUGUAUCGGAACGUGCCCAGUCGUGGGGGAUAACGUAGUGAAAAUUACGCUAAUACCGCAUACGAUCUAUGGAUGAAAGCGGGGGAUCGCAAGACCUCGCGCGAUUGGAGCGGCCGAUAUCAGAGUAGGUAGUUGGUGGGGUAAAGGCCCACCAAGCCAACGAUCUGUAGCUGGUCUGAGAGGACGACCAGCCACACUGGAACUGAGACACGGUCCAGACUCCUACGGGAGGCAGCAGUGGGGAAUUUUGGACAAUGGGCGAAAGCCUGUUCCAGCCAUUCCGCGUGCAGGAUGAAGGCCCUCGGGUUGUAAACUGCUUUUGUACAGAACGAAAAGGUUUCUACUAAUACUAGGAGCUCAUGACGGUACUGUAAGAAUAAGCACCGGCUAACUACGUGCCAGCCGCCGCGGUAA